rnacentral:rRNA from 1 species
AUUGAACGCUGGCGGCAGGCCUAACACAUGCAAGUCGAACGGUAACAGGAAGAAGCUUGCUUCUUUGCUGACGAGUGGCGGACGGGUGAGUAAUGUCUGGGAAACUGCCUGAUGGAGGGGGAUAACUACUGGAAACGGUAGCUAAUACCGCAUAAUGUCGCAAGACCAAAGAGGGGGACCUUCGGGCCUCUUGCCAUCGGAUGUGCCCAGAUGGGAUUAGCUAGUAGGUGGGGUAACGGCUCACCUAGGCGACGAUCCCUAGCUGGUCUGAGAGGAUGACCAGCCAAACUGGAACUGAGACACGGUCCAGACUCCUACGGGAGGCAGCAGUGGGGAAUAUUGCACAAUGGGCGCAAGCCUGAUGCAGCUAUGCCGCGUGUAUGAAGAAGGCCUUCGGGUUGUAAAGUACUUUCAGCGGGGAGGAAGGGAGUAAAGUUAAUACCUUUGCUCAUUGACGUUACCCGCAGAAGAAGCACCGGCUAACUCCGUG